GGGCAUGUUGGUUCGGCUAAAUAUUGGAUCAGUAGCAUAUUUAGUGAACCUAGGGUGGUUUGAGUAUAUACUAAGGCGACUAAAAGGGGUAAUGAUCCAGCUAGGGUGUAGAAGAGAAAAUAAAUUCCAGCAUUUAGUCGUUCUGUUUGACCCCCUCAUCGAGUAAUAAUGAUCAGAGUGGGGACUAGUGUGGCUUCAAAUAAAAUGUAAAAUAUAAUUAGUUCGGUGGCAGAGAAAGUUAUGAUUAAGAAAAUUUGGAGUAAAAUUAUUAUGGUAAUAUAUAGUUUUUUUCGUGCGAGGGAUUCUUUAUUUAUAUGAUACUGGCUAGCAAUAAUUAUAAGCGGUAGAAGUCAAGUUGUUAGUAUUAGUAGAGGAGUUGACAGUGAGUCGGAGAAAAAUAAUAUGGAUAGGUUUAAGCUAUUGUCGCAGAAUUGAUUUAUUAGAGGUAAACACACUAUACUGAUUACUAGACUAUAAAUUGUUGAAUUGAUUCAUACUAUAUUACUUUUUGAUAGUCACGUAAGUGGAAUUAGUAUAAUUGUGGGGAUAAUAAUUUUUAGCAUUGAAGAAGAUUAAGGUUUUGUACAUAGUCGAUUCCAUAUGUGUUAGAUACGACCACUAGGAGGGAUAGUCCAAGUGCUGCUUCACAGGCUGCAAAUACUAAGAGAAUAAUAGGUAUUAUACUAGCCAGAGUUGUGUGAGUAAUAAGAAUUGUUACACUGGUAAGCACAAAGAGAGAGAGAG